AUGUAUCUUCAUGAAGAUUCAAGGUUCACCAUAAUUCAUAGAGAUCUCAAAGUUGGAAAUAUUUUGCUAGAUGCCAAUUUUAAACCCAAGAUAGCAGAUUUUGGUAUGGCUAGAAUCUUUGGUGAUAACCAGCAAAAUGCAAAUACCCAACGUGUUGUUGGAACAUAUGGCUACAUGGCUCCUGAGUAUGCAAUGGAAGGCGUCUUCUCUACCAAGUCUGAUGUCUAUAGUUUUGGUGUGUUACUGCUGGAGGUUGUAACUGGCAUAAGGAGAAACUCCAUUAGUCAAACCAUGGGAUUCCCUAGCCUCACAGUUUAUUCAAGGAAUAUGUGGAAGGAAGCGAAGACCGAUGAACUGCUAGACUCAUGUAUCGUAAAUACUUCACCGGUCGAAGUUUUGCUUUGCGUCCAUGUAGCACUCUUGUGUGUCCAGGAGAACCCAGAUGAUAGGCCGCUUAUGUCAUCUGUUGUGUUCAUCCUAGAGAAUAGAAUCACCACACUUACAGCCCCCAGUCGCCCCGCCUACUUUGCACGACAAAGUGCUGAAGUUAGUAAUAUAAAAAAUGACAUCCGGACUUCCGCGAACAGUUUUACUCUUACUGAGAUAGAGGGCCGAUGA
rnacentral:rRNA from 1 species